rnacentral:rRNA from 1 species
CCUACGGGGUGCAGCAGUCGAGAAUCAUUCACAAUGGGGGAAACCCUGAUGGUGCGACGCCGCGUGGGGGAAUGAAGGUCUUCGGAUUGUAAACCCCUGUCAUGUGGGAGCAAAUUAAAAAGAUAGUACCACAAGAGGAAGAGCCGGCUAACUCUGUGCCAGCAGCCGCGGUAAUACAGAGGUCUCAAGCGUUGUUCGGAAUCACUGGGCGUAAAGCGUGCGUAGGCUGUUUUGUAAGUCGUGUGUGAAAGGCGGGGGCUCAACCCGCGGACGGCACAUGAUACUGGGAGACUAGAGUAAUGGAGGGGGAACCGGAAUUCUCGGUGUAGCAGUGAAAUGCGUAGAUAUCGAGAGGUACACUCGUGGCGAAGGCGGGUUCCUGGACAUUAACUGACGCUGAGGCACGAAGGCCAGGGGAGCGAAAGGGAUUAGAUACCCCUGUAGUC